rnacentral:lncRNA from 1 species
UGCCCGCCCUCUCACCGUCCCGCCCCUUCUGUCCCUCGCCGGCCCUGCCGGGGGGCUGCGCCUGCGCGUUCGCUGGAGGGGCUGCUGCUGCUCCGUGCCCGGCGCUCGGACCCGGCUGGCGGGCGGCGGGUGAGGGGCCGGUGGCGGGGCAGAGCGAUGAGCUCCCGGAAAGGUACCAUCCCGGGCGGCUGCGGGAGCCCGGCAGCGGUACCGGCUCCUCCGAGGGGGGCUGAGGAAAGUACCCGCGCGCGCCCACUAACCUGUGCCCGUCUCUCCCCAGUGCUGGCCCUGCAGGCCCGGAGGCGGCGGCCCAAGCAGCCCGCGGCGGCCGGCAGGAGGGACAAGCACAAAAAGCCAGAGCCUCAACAGAAAGCUCCAUCUGCACCACCACCUCCACCUCCGCCCCCACCUCCGCCCCUGCCAGAGCCAGCACCACCAGAACCAGAGGAGGAGAUUCUGGGAUCUGAUGAUGAGGAGCAAGAAGACCCUGCAGAUUAUUGCAAAGGUUUGUGUAAUUAAGCACUAUAUAAAAAGUUGAAUGUUAAAUAGUAAACAUCUAUAUAGCCCUUGACAACUUUGGUCCUCAAGAGCCACUUGAAUGGUCUUCUUUUAGAGUGAAGCUUAUGCUUUUGUGUGGUAGAGACAGAGUUUUCUUAGUGCUGGUCCUAGAUUAUGGAAUUCACUCCUGCAAGAACCAAGGGUAUGUCUACACUAGAGAGACUAUACAGGCAUUGCUAUGUCACCGUAGCUAUGUUGGCAUAACCCUGUAGUAUAGAUGCUGCCUAUAUGUUGGUGUGGGAGCACCACCUCCCUGAUUGAUGGUAGCUCUAAGUCGAUGGAAACAUUCUUCUGUUGACUUAGCUUCAUCUAUACAGGGGAUUAGUUUGGCAUAACUGUGUCGCUCAGGGAGUGCUUUUUUUCCCCACACACCUGAGCAACGUAAUUAUGUUGAUCUAAUUUUUAAGUGUAGACCAAGCCUAAGAAUGGCCACAAAAGUCACCAUUUUCUGUCUAUGCAAUGCUUAUCACUUUUAUUUAUUUUACUUUCCCCUAGGCAAAGGAAUGGAGAGAACAUUUUUGGACCAACAUUAGACACAUUAUUUUUUAACUCUGCGAGGUUUUUAAAUAGUUUGGUAACUGGGAUGAUAUAAUGAUAUAAUAACCUAUACUUAGAAUAGAAUUUAUUUCUCUGAUUCUUCCCUCUAACUUCUCUGCACCAUUGAGACUCACAUUCACUCACUGGAAAUCUUCUGAUCCUGUCCUUGUACAUUAUAUGGAAACUUUAUUCAUACCUUUCUUAUUCUGCUAUUCUGCCUGAUUUACGAUGUGCAUGGGCUAAUUAGAUCAUCAGCUAGUCCAAUUGCCCCAACUUCUGCAGGGAGUCUUGGAACCAUAUCUUGGGGCAUCACUGGGAAUCUGGUAAAGUACGAAACAUUAUUUUAGUGGAGAAUGCAGAUAAACUCAAGACAAGUGAAAGACAAGUAAAUGUUGAGCAAAAAACGUUAAUGUGAACCAGGAGC